rnacentral:rRNA from 1 species
UACGUAGGGGGCAAGCGUUGUCCGGAUUUAUUGGGCGUAAAGAGCGUGUAGGCGGCUUUACAGGUCCGUUGUGAAAACUCGAGGCUCAACCUCGAGACGCCGGUGGAAACCGUAAGGCUAGAGUCCGGAAGAGGAGAGUGGAAUUCCUGGUGUAGCGGUGAAAUGCGCAGAUAUCAGGAGGAACACCUAUGGCGAAGGCAGCUCGCUGGGACGUUACUGACGCUGAGACGCGAAAGCGUGGGGAGCAAACAGG